GUCUCCUGUAGCUCAGUGGUUAGAGCAUCCGACCGGUGUGUGGAAGGUCAUGGGCUCGACUCCUGUCAGGGAGGACA